AACAACCAAGAAAAAAAUACGUAACCAAGAAAAAAUCACGUCUCCACUUUUGCUUUUUCAUUUUUUUAUUAUAUCCCGAUAUACUCGUCAUAUUUAUUUAUUUUUUCUUAGUUCUCUAAAGGGCGAAAC
rnacentral:ribozyme from 13 species